rnacentral:rRNA from 1 species
AUAGAGGCCUACCAUGGUGGUAACGGGUAACGGGGUGUUAGGGCACGACACCGGAGAGGGAGCCUGAGAAACGGCUACCACAUCCAAGGAAGGCAGCAGGCGCGCAAAUUACCCAAUCCCGACACGGGGAGGUAGUGACAAUAAAUAACAAUACAGGGUUCUUUUGGAUCUUGUAAUUGGAAUGAGUACAAUUUAAAUCUCUUAACGAGCAACAAUUGGAGGGCAAGUCUGGUGCCAGCAGCCGCGGUAAUUCCAGCUCCAAUAGCGUAUAUUAAAGUUGUUGCAGUUAAAAAGCUCGUAGUUGAAUUUCGGGAUCAAUAUUUCGGUCAUGCCGUUGGUAUGCACUGUUAUCAUUGAUUUCUCACCUUCUAAAGAACCGUAAUGCCAUUAAUUUGAUGUUACGGGGAAUUAGGACUGUUACCUUGAAAAAAUUAGAGUGUUUAAAGCAGGCUCACGCUUGAAUACAUUAGCAUGGAAUAAUGAAAUAGGACAUUCGAUUCUAUUUUGUUGGUUUCUAGGAUCGAUGUAAUGAUUAAUAGGGAUAGUUGGGGGCAUUAGUAUUCAAUUGUCAGAGGUGAAAUUCUUGGAUUUAUUGAAGACUAACUACUGCGAAAGCAUUUGCCAAGGAUGUUUUCAUUAAUCAAGAACGAAAGUUAGGGGAUCGAAGACGAUCAGAUACCGUCGUAGUCUUAACCAUAAACUAUGCCGACUAGGGAUCGGAUGAUGUUAAUUUUUUAAUGACUCAUUCGGCGCCUUAC